GACGUAGGGGGCCAGCGUUGUUCGGAAUUACUGGGUGUAAAGGGUUCGUAGGCGGUGUGGCAAGUCGGGAGUGAAAUCUCUGGGCUCAACUCAGAGACUGCUUCCGAAACUGCUGUGCUGGAGUGUGGGAGAGGCGCGUGGAAUUGCAGGUGUAGCGGUGAAAUGCGUAGAUAUCUGCAGGAACACCCGUGGCGAAAGCGGCGCGCUGGUCCACUACUGACGCUGAGGAACGAAAGCUAGGGGAGCAAACAGG
rnacentral:rRNA from 1 species